UUUCAUCUCUCGUUUUUUACCAUCCUAUCACUACAGUACCACAAAAUUAACUAACUGUUCUAAUUGUCCUAAAUGUCCUAAUUUUCUGACAUCUUAUCUUUCUCCUUGUCCAUGAAUACUUUGUGACCUAACAGGGACCAGAAAAAUUUUCACAGCAUCAAUGACUAUGUCUACUCCAGUGAAUUUCAGUGUCUACCUCCGGAAGUGAGACCAACUGGAUCAUUUGAUAGAGAAACAACAGUCCUAGGCAGAGAUAGCUAGGCUUCACUUCCUCAUCUACAAACAGUUCCAGCCAAAGGUCUCUGCUCAGCCAGUCUGGCCUCCUUGCCCAUUGGCUUGUAUUCCAUGACUUGGGGUUGGUCAGCUCCUGCACCUUUAGAAUACUUCUUUAAAGUAUUCCCAGCCUUCCUGGCUCCCAUGCCCUCCUGAACUGCCUCCCAAGUGACCCUCUCAACCAUGGUCUGAAAGAGACCAAAGUCUGCCCUCUGGAAGUCCUAG
ensembl:lncRNA